rnacentral:rRNA from 1 species
GACGAACGCUGGCGGCGUGCUUAACACAUGCAAGUCGAACGAUGAAGCCGGAGCUUGCUCUGGUGAAUUAGUGGCGAACGGGUGAGUAACACGUGAGUAACCUGCCCUUGACUCUGGGAUAACUGCGGGAAACUGUAGCUAAUACCGGAUACGACCCUCGGAGGCAUCUCCUGGGGGUGGAAAGAAUUUCGGUCAAGGAUGGACUCGGGGCCUAUCGGCUAGUUGGUGAGGUAAGGGCUCACCAAGGCGACGACGGGUAGCCGGCCUGAGAGGUGGACCGGCCAGACUGGGACUGAGACACGGCCCAGACUCCUACGGGAGGCAGCAGUGGGGAAUAUUGCACAAUGGGCGCAAGCCUGAUGCAGCAACGCCGCGAGAGGGAUGACGGCCUUCGGGUUGUAAACCUCUUUUAGCAGGGAAGAAGCGAAAGUGACGGUACCUGCAGAAAAAGCACCGGCUAACUACGUGCCAGCAGCCGCCGUAA